AGGCCUUCUUUCUGAUUGGUAUUCCUUUUUUAGGCCUUCUUUCUGAUUGGUAUUCCUUUUUUUAGGCCUUCUUUCUGAUUGGUAUUCCUUUUUUUAGGCCUUCUUUCUGAUUGGUAUUCCUUUUUUAGGUCUUCUUUCUGAUUGGUAUUCCUUUUUUUAGGUCUUCUUUCUGAUUGGUAUUCCUUUUUUUAGGUCUUCUUUCUGAUUGGUAUUCCUUUUUUUAGGUCUUCUUUCUGAUUGGUAUUCCUUUUUUUAGGUCUUCUUUCUGAUUGGUAUUCCUUUUUUUAGGUCUUCUUUCUGAUUGGUAUUCCUUUUUUUAGGUCUUCUUUCUGAUUGGUAUUCCUUUUUUUAGGUCUUCUUUCUGAUUGGUAUUCCUUUUUUUAGGUCUUCUUUCUGAUUGGUAUUCCUUUUUUUAGGUCUUCUUUCUGAUUGGUAUUCCUUUUUUUAGGCCUUCUUUCUGAUUGGUAUUCCUUUUUUAGGCCUUUUUUUCUGAUUG